ACUUAAAUUGAAGAGUUUGAUCAUGGCUCAGAUUGAACGCUGGCGGCAGGCCUAACACAUGCAAGUCGAGCGGUAACACAGAGAGCUUGCUCUCGGGUGACGAGCGGCGGACGGGUGAGUAAUGUCUGGGAAACUGCCUGAUGGAGGGGGAUAACUACUGGAAACGGUAGCUAAUACCGCAUAACGUCGCAAGACCAAAGUGGGGGACCUUCGGGCCUCAUGCCAUCAGAUGUGCCCAGAUGGGAUUAGCUAGUAGGUGGGGUAAUGGCUCACCUAGGCGACGAUCCCUAGCUGGUCUGAGAGGAUGACCAGCCACACUGGAACUGAGACACGGUCCAGACUCCUACGGGAGGCAGCAGUGGGGAAUAUUGCACAAUGGGCGCAAGCCUGAUGCAGCCAUGCCGCGUGUAUGAAGAAGGCCUUCGGGUUGUAAAGUACUUUCAGCGAGGAGGAAGGC
rnacentral:rRNA from 1 species